CUCACAUUUCACCUGAGUAAGGUGCCUUCAAGGCCUGAUCCUUUCCAAGCUUUUGAUAGCUCACUCUAAUAUCACCCGUGCAAAGUUUGCUGACGAUCAUGCAUAUUAGAGGAGGGAGACGUCUAAACCUGCAAGACACUGGUUUUGUAGGACAGAAAUUUGACACCAGUUUCUUGAGAUCAAAUGGUAAUAAAGGUGGUCAGGUGGCGAGAGGCGAACAUUUCUGUUCUAACGGUUGGACAGCGGGUGUCUCUUACGCACCUGAAAACAUCGUGUUCCGGUGGCCUGGAGCUCCACUCCACCGAAAAUACUGAGAUCAAGGAACUGGAACAAGAGCCAUUUCGAUUUGUGGCCUUUAAAAUAAAAGGUGAAGACGUGGAGCUUUUGGACGCCACCAAUGCCACCAAAAAGGUUCCAUUGACAGUGUGGAAAGAAAGAUUCCCCGAAGGCCCUAAUCUUACCCCAGAGGGGCUUUUGUGGUAAUUUUUUUUUGUGUUCUAUUGUUUGUAUUUCUUGUUUGUUGUUCUGUU